rnacentral:rRNA from 1 species
UACGUAGGGGGCAAGCGUUGUCCGGAUUUAUUGGGCGUAAAGAGCGUGUAGGCGGCCAGGUAGGUCCGUUGUGAAAACUCGAGGCUCAACCUCGAGACGCCGAUGGAAACCAUCUGGCUAGAGUCCGGAAGAGGAGAGUGGAAUUCCCGGUGUAGCGGUGAAAUGCGCAGAUAUCGGGAAGAACACCCGUGGCGAAGGCGGUUCUCUGGGACGGUACUGACGCUGAUGCGCGAAAGCGUGGGAGCAAACGGG